rnacentral:rRNA from 1 species
AUGCCGCACCCCUCCUCGCCGUCUUCCUCGCCGCAGCAGCUCCGCCUCGCGCGCCUCCUCCUGCCCUUCGGCCUGCUGCUCCUCGUCUCGCUGCUCGUGCUCCACGGCCGCCCGCCGGGGACCCGCCCCGGCCAAUCCGGCACUGACCCUGCCGCGCUCUUCCUCUCGCUCUCCCCGGGGGCUAACGCCAGCAUCGCGGCCGACCUGCGCGCGCUCACGUCGGGGCCGCACCUCGCGGGGACGGCCGGGGCGGCGGGCGUGGCCGCGCACGUGCUCUCGCGGCUCCGCGCCGCGGGGUUAAGGACGCUGACCCGCGAGUACGCGCCGCUGCUCUCGUACCGGGCGCACGCCUCACUCGCGCUGCUCGCCGCCGACCGGUCCCUCCUUGCGUACCUGUCGACGGAUGAGCCGGCAGACCCGGGGCGCCGCGUCGUGCGGCCCUAUCACGCGUAUGCUCCCUCCGGUGCGGCCGUGGCCGAGGCGGUGUUCGUCAACCUGGGCCGCGAGGAGGACCUCGCCGCGCUCGACCGGCUCGGGGUGUCCCUCCGCGGCCGCGUCGCCGUGGCGGUCCGCGGGGGCGGGUACCGCGGCGGGGUGGUGGCGCGCGCCGCGGGGAGGGGCGCCGUCGCAGUGCUCAUAGCCGGCCGCGCGGACGGCGGCGUCGAGAGGGGCACGGUCCUCCUGGGGGGCCCCGGCGACCCGCUCACGCCCGGCUGGGCGGCGGCGGACGGGGCAGAGCGGCUAGGGUUCGACCACGAGGCGGUCAGGCGGCGGUUGCCAACGAUCCCGUCCAUGCCGGUGUCGGCCGACACGGCGUCAGUCAUCGUACGGAGCCUGGGCGGGCCGGCGUUGCCGCAGGAGUGGCGCGCGGGGCUAGGGCUCGAGGGCCACGCCGGCGGCGUCGGACCAGGCCCCACGCUAGUCAACUUCACCUACCAGGAGGAUAGGAAGAUGGCUACGAUAAAGGAUAUUUUUGCUGUCAUAAAAGGACACGAAGAACCUGAUCGUUACGUGAUCCUUGGGAACCACAGAGAUGCAUGGACAUAUGGAGCAGUUGAUCCUAACAGUGGGACAGCUGCGCUUCUUGAUGUUGCUCGCCGUCUUGGAAUAAUGCUGCAGUCAGGUUGGACACCACGGAGGACUAUCAUUCUUUGUAGCUGGGAUGCUGAAGAGUUUGGAAUGAUCGGGUCAACUGAAUGGGUCGAAGAGAACCUUGGAGAUCUGCAAUCCAAAGCUGUAGCUUACUUGAAUGUUGAUUGUGCUGUGCAAGGCAUGGGGCUUUUCGCUGGUUCUACUCCCCAGUUGGAUAAGCUCUUGAUCGAUGUUACAAGACUGGUAAAGGAUCCAGAUGUUGAAGGAAAGACAGUUCAUGAUACAUGGAGUACAAUGAAUGGCGGCAUCAAUAUAGAGAGACUUGCCAGAACUGAUUCUGAUUUCGCCCCAUUUCUCCAUCAUGCUGGAAUUCCUUGUGUGGACUUGUACUAUGGAAAAGAAUUUCCUGGCUAUCAUACUGCACUUGACUCUUAUAUCUGGAUGGAAAAGCAUGGUGAUCCAUUGUUUCUUCGUCAUUUGGCUAUUACCGAAAUUUGGGGACUACUAGCGCUUCGCUUGGCAAAUGAUCUUGUGUUGCCUUUUGAUUACCACACAUAUGCCUCACAGUUGCAGGAGCAUACAAAUGUGCUUGCCGACAGGAUGGACAACAGCCAAUCAGUCAGUGUCAUAAAUGGAUUCAUCAAUGAUCUUUCUAGUGCAGCCACAGAAGUUCAGAAGGAGGCAAAGGAACUAAAGAUGCUGGAUAUACACGAUGGACGCGGUCUUAUAAGGAGGCGGCUGUUGAACGACCGCCUUCUACUAGCCGAAAGAAGCUUCCUGCACGCGGAAGGACUCCAAGGAAGAACAUGGUACAAGCAUCUGAUGUACUCGCCACCGGAGGACUACGAGAGCGAGCUCUCGUUCUUCCCCGGGAUCGCGGACGCCAUCUCUCGGCAGGGGAACCAGAGCACGAGACAACGGCAGGCGGCGGUGCGGCAGGAGCUGUGGAGGGUCGCCAUGGCGAUCGAGAGGGCCGCAAAUGUGCUCAGAGGUGAAUUUGGCGCACAGAGCAAACCAGUAAAUUUCAGUGUCUCCUUGGCUCCGUGA